ACACUUACCUGGCAGCUGAGAUGCCAUGAUCUAGAAGGUGGUUUUCCCAAAGUGAAGCUUAUCAAUUGUUUUCCAGGUAUGCCAAGCCCCACAACUUCACCAAACACAGAACAUCUCACUGCAUAAUUUGUGACCCUGGGAACUUGUGUUCAUGCUUUUACCUC
ensembl:snRNA U1 U1 spliceosomal RNA